rnacentral:rRNA from 1 species
CCUUAGAGUUUGAUCCUGGCUCAGGACGAACGCUGGCGGCACGCUUAACACAUGCAAGUCGAACGAGAGAAGAGAAGCUUGCUUUUCUGAUCUAGUGGCGGACGGGUGAGUAACACGUGAGCAAUCUGCCUUUCAGAGGGGGAUACCGAUUGGAAACGAUCGUUAAUACCGCAUAACAUAAUUGAACCGCAUGAUUUGAUUAUCAAAGAUUUAUCGCUGAAAGAUGAGCUCGCGUCUGAUUAGCUAGUUGGUAAGGUAACGGCUUACCAAGGCGACGAUCAGUAGCCGGACUGAGAGGUUGAUCGGCCACAUUGGGACUGAGACACGGCCCAGACUCCUACGGGAGGCAGCAGUGGGGAAUAUUGCACAAUGGAGGAAACUCUGAUGCAGCGAUGCCGCGUGAGGGAAGAAGGUUUUAGGAUUGUAAACCUCUGUCUUUGGGGACGAAAAAUGACGGUACCCAAGGAGGAAGCUCCGGCUAACUACGUGCCAGCAGCCGCGGUAAUACGUAGGGAGCGAGCGUUGUCCGGAAUUACUGGGUGUAGAGGGAGCGUAGGCGGGAUCGCAAGUCAGAUGUGAAAACUAUGGGCUUAACCCAUAAACUGCAUUUGAAACUGUGGUUCUUGAGUGAAGUAGAGGUAAGCGGAAUUCCUAGUGUAGCGGUGAAAUGCGUAGAUAUUAGGAGGAACAUCAGUGGCGAAGGCGGCUUACUGGGCUUUAACUGACGCUGAGGCUCGAAAGCGUGGGGAGCAAACAGGAUUAGAUACCCUGGUAGUCCACGCCGUAAACGAUGAUUACUAGGUGUGGGGGGACUGACCCCUUCCGUGCCGCAGCAAACGCAAUAAGUAAUCCACCUGGGGAGUACGACCGCAAGGUUGAAACUCAAAGGAAUUGACGGGGGCCCGCACAAGCAGUGGAGUAUGUGGAUUAAUUCGAAGCAACGCGAAGAACCUUACCAGGUCUUGACAUCGUAUGCAUAGCUCAGAGAUGAGUGAAAUCUCUUCGGAGACAUAUAGACAGGUGGUGCAUGGUUGUCGUCAGCUCGUGUCGUGAGAUGUUGGGUUAAGUCCCGCAACGAGCGCAACCCUUACUGUUAGUUGCUACGCAAGAGCACUCUAGCAGGACUGCCGUUGACAAAACGGAGGAAGGUGGGGAUGACGUCAAAUCAUCAUGCCCCUUAUGACCUGGGCCUCACACGUACUACAAUGGCGUAAACAAAGGGAAGCGAGAUUGUGAGAUGGAGCAAAUCCCAAAAAUAACGUCCCAGUUCGGACUGUAGUCUGCAACCCGACUACACGAAGCUGGAAUCGCUAGUAAUCGCGGAUCAGAAUGCCGCGGUGAAUACGUUCCCGGGUCUUGCACUCACCGCCCGUCA